AUGCUCACUUUGGCAGUACAUAUACUAAAACUGGAACGAUACAGAGAGCAUUAGCAUGGUCCCUACACAAGGAUAACACACAAAUUCACAAAGCACUCCAUAUUUUU
ensembl:snRNA U6 U6 spliceosomal RNA